GUGGAGAAUGUUAAUGCCUUGCAGUCAAUAAUUAUAAAGUUGAAUGACAAAAUUUCUAGUAUUAAAAGGAAGCACAAGCAUGACAAAAAUGUUUUCCUAGGGUUUAAAUCAAGUGCUAUAAGGUGUUCCAAUUGUGAAGGUUUUUGGCAUGAAACUCAUCACUGUCCUAAUUGGAAUGAAAGUCCCAUGACUAAUGAAGACCUCAAGAACUACAUUUUAUAUUUGAAAGAGGGUGAAGGAAGGGCUUUGCAAAAAUUAGAUGCAUUGAAAAGAAGACAAAAGCAAAAGCUUAAAAGAACACAAGAGAAAAAACACUUAUAGAAAUGGAAGAAAUAGAAACUAGAGGAAAAGAAGAGAAAAAAAGAGGGAGGGCGAAGAAAGAGAAAAAAGAGAAAAAGAAGAGAAAGAAAAGAGAGCAUAGGAGGAGAAAGAAAAUAUAGAAAGAGAUGAGAAAGAAAAGAAAGAGAGAGAAGAGAAAGAAGAAUAGAGAGAAAAAGAAGAAAGCAUCCUCAUUUGUCAUUAAAAAAAAUACUAAAUGAUCGCGUUUUGUUUUGUUGCCUAGGAAGAUUUGUUUAUCAAGGAACCAUGAUAUCAACAAUCGAAGAAAGAUAAAAUGACAAAAAAGGAAGACAACAAGCUUAAAACUCACAAAACCUAUAUUUGAUGAUCUAUUAGCUUGCUUGUCAAUUCAUUUAGAUAUUUAAAGUCAUCCUUUUAGUAUGAAAACAAGCUUAGAAAUGCAUGUACACGAGUUAACUU
rnacentral:lncRNA from 1 species